GUUUGGUGUCACCCACGGGGUCCCCGGCCUGACAAAUAAAGAAGAUGGCAUCCCUGUUGAUGCCUGUGGAAAAAACGCCCAAGGCAGAAGAAGGGAAGGUGACCGUCUGUGUGUGCAAACGUCCAUUCAGCAGAGAGCUGACAGGAUCCAUGGGGUGGGGAGGGCAGAGACACCAAGGUAGGAAACGGCAGACUGUCUUCAUAUCGCGAUGCAUCAGUGUCGGGGACGUGGCCUGUUUGUCACACUUCCCAGAAUUCCUGUCCCCCUGCUCCUGUACAGCACAGACUGAGGGGGCUAUAAAGCGUUAAUUUUUAGGUGUAACUAAGCAGAUGAUGCAAAGAUGCUGUAUGGGUCACUGUUAUGGCCGCCAGGGUGACAGGCCUCUGUCACCCACCCCCCACUAGACCAUGUGAAUAUCCCUCAGCGUUUCCAGACCCGGUCAGGCAGGAUAGCGAGGUGAUGAAUCAGCUCAAACAACUUCACUCCUGAAAGCACGCGGUGGAGGCGGAGCUCCCAGCAGGUGCUCGCUCGCUCAGCCGGCAGCCGAGGAUGGCCGAGGGACGCGGGCGGCUGGGUGCCUAGUGCUGCGUGCGUGGUGGUGGUGGGGGUGGGGGGUGAUUACACUGGCUGCUGAGCCUCGCAAGGUGAUUCGGGGUGAGAGGCGCGUAGCAGGGGGCCACAGGGGCGAUCCUGCAGCGGGUCAGCGACUGCACCGUCAUCAGGAUCCGGCUCGCGAGGACCGAUCCCGGAGUCAUGGAGUCACUGCUGACUCCUUGUGUUUAUAAUUCCAGCUCACGCGGCUUAUACUGCUGCCCCAGCGUCUUAUGUGUCUUUCCUAAACCACACAGUGAGUGACUCUGACUACUAACCACUAGCUACAAACUACCCACUGCAAACAUAUCAGAAACUUGUGCUAACCGAAACAUUGUAGUGUGAACAUUGCCAAGACCCCUUUCAUUCCCCAGAGAGCAGAGACGAGCCCUGAACGCACGCAUGAAAGGCAGCCUAUCCUCCGGUCCUGUCCAGAUGGGCCUGCUCUCCCCCAGCAGGCCACUGGAGGAGCUCCGGGCCAGCGCUGGGCCUGCAGACGGCAUGGCGCCAUUCAUUUCUGCUUGUUUUUCUGUAGAGGGUGACAGCUGGCGCCUGCAUAUAAAUCUCGGCCUGCUCAGAGACGCUCUGCCACGGCCCAGCUGUGAACAGCUGGUCCCUCUAAAGAAGUCUUUCUAUCCCGGGACAGAUUCUGAAGGUGUGACAGAGGAAACAUUGGGUAUUGUUCUGCUUAUCUGUGCUGCUCCUGUUAACGGACAUUCACUGUGUGUAAAUGCAUCUGCAAAUAUAUUCCUGAAGCCUCCCACGGGAACAGCUGCAGAGCAGCUAACAGCCUUUGAUAUUUUCCUCCCCACUCCAUACUUUUUUUUUUUCUCUCAUUGAAAAAAACAAACAGAAAAUAGCACAGAAAACUUCCUUGCUUUUAUUUCAUGCUUGGGAAUGUAAUAUUGUUUUAAAGAGCGAUUGGUAGAUCUGCAUCGUGCAGUCCUCAUCAGGCUAAUGGUGCUGAAAAUAAAAGGGGUGCUUUAAUUUCAAAAGGGCUUUGAAAAUCAAAUGGAAGCCGGACUGAAAGGGAGAACUCGAAAUAAAGGAAUUUGCCCCCUCUCUCCCUUGCAUGGCGGGAGGAAUUAGCAUUUUCAGCUGGAUGAACGAAGUACAGCCGGUCUGGUGAGUCGUACUUAUCAAUGGGCCAGCGGGCCGCGGGGGCGAUCCUAACUUGUACCUUGUAUUCUCACUGAUACCUGUGUUAAGUGGCUUUGGGAUCCACUGCUAGCUCAGGACCCUUAACUCUACUAGAGCACACUAUUGGGGCUUCAUGAUGCGUCCCGGCUGAAACGAGGGCUUGCCUAAUUACCCCCCCCCCCCCAGUAAACGAGGCAAGAACACAAAGAAGGUAUUGAUUGUGUUUAUUACCUUAAUAUGCAGGCCGAGCUCACAGGAAGAAGAUCCCUUCAGGGAUGUAACGCUCUGGGAGAUGAGUUAAAUCUUUCAUGUGUAAUGGAGGAAGAAUUAUAGGCAGUAAAGGAGGGGGAGGGGCGAGAGGGGGGGUGCAGGGCUCAGCAUGAAAAGGACUCCAGCAUUAUCAGAUUUGCUACAAGAUAUAACAGUGUCUCCCAUUGUGACCCCCCAGCCCCUGACUGUGUAUGGCUCCAGAGCUGGCUUCUCUAAGCAAUUGCAACUGGAGUGGAAAGUAUUCCACAGCACAAUAUCUGUGCUCUCAAUAGAUCUUUGCGUGCCAUUGGUACACUGUCACUAGCAGAUGGCGAGCUAAUUAGAAGCUAUUAAGUGCUUUGAUAGUGUGUGUGGGAACCAGGAUGACGGAGAGCCGGUGCUCAGGCCAUGAAUGUGCAGACAAGCCGCUGCGAGGGCCCACCCAGUAUCCUCCUCGAGGCUGGGGGACGAGGACGACUGGCGCAGACGGCUGCCCCGAUGCUGCUGCAGGGAUCAUAGGGGGACCUCUGGGAGGCAGGGGGGGUCUUUUUCAGAUCGAUGGGACACUCCUGUGCUGUGUGGUUUAGCCGUUUUGUUCUGGAGAUUGAAUCUGUCUUAGUGCCAAGGAGAGCAAAUUACCUGGUGUGCCGGCAGUUUCCCAGAUGGGCCGCACUGACAGAGAGUCCCGCCAAGUGCAGAAACGCUCUGUUCUUCCAGCAAAAGCAACAUCUACGUGGCCGAGACCUACUUCGAGUCCAGCAUGCAUUUGAUCCAAGCACCUCUUCCUACCGAAAUCAAGAAAAUGGCCACCGAUGCCAGCAGGCAGAAUGUCACUGAACAAGAAAGCUUGUUUAAUUUCUGUUGGCACUGUGCAAGUCCGAUGACAUUAUUUGUUUAGUAGAUGAUUUUAUACAAAGCAACACACAGGGAUCCAGGCCCUGGAGCAGUCAAGGCCUUGCUCAAGGGCACAGUGGUGAAAUCAGUCUGCUAAUCGAGGGAUUCGAACCAGCAACCUUCUGACGACAGCAUCCAAAUCCACUGAACCACACACUUCAGGACGUAUCUCACCCAGGGCACCGGAGCUGCGGAAAGGCAAGCUGCGCAUGUUGCCAUCCAUCUGAGAUCAGAUAGACAGGGAGAUGCUGUGUCAUCAACAUCACUCAGUCCCCAUCUCCCAAAAGGCAACAGACCAUAGCCUGUUCCAGAAGGCAUUUCUACCAAAAUGUUGUUUGACGUGACAUAAAGAGAAUUAAUAAUUACAAAGAAUAGCGGCGAUAAUGAAUAGCGUAUGUAACUCAAAGCAAAGGUUCCAUUAUGUAAUAUGUCUCAUGGAGUUAGGGAAUUAGAGGGGCUUUGACAAAAGUUGAAGGCUUUUGAUAAUCACACUGUUAUUAAAAUCAAACAAUGACUGAACACAACUUCAGUUCCUACUUUGAGCUUUGACUCUAAAAAGUGGGAUAUCCACUCCAGAUCCCAGAGCUUAAAAAGCAGGGAGAGUCUCCACUUUUCAAACGUCACUGCAACAUAAGACACCAAGCUGAGCCUGCAAAGAAAAUGCACUGUGUGUUUGACAGCUUUCUUAGUCACAGCAGCCCAGUGACCUUGGAUUUGCUGACUGCAGAGUCCAGAAUCCAGUCUGCUUAUUCACAGGGGGGAAGUUUUACUUCUACAACCACAAGUGAAGGGAUACUGCUGUUAUGCUUGCAGAGGGGCAGACAUUAGAUGCAAGGACAGCAGAUAUUAAUGUCAAUUAUAUUCCAAGUGUCAUAACUAACCUGUCUAUCAGUCAAAGGUCAACUUCAUUGCAAUUGUGCACGAGAACAAUAAAAUGAGGAAUGUGGGCACAAAAGGUCACAAAAUAUGUCCCCAUAUUCAAAGUUCAAGCGGUGCCUUUCAUAUUUGAAUAAAUAAAUUUCAACAUAAGUUGAAUAAAUAAAGCAAAAUCACCGGUUCUGUCUGUCGCUUUAUGAGAGCUGCACCUGCUCUAUGUGUGGAGAGCCAGGCAUCAUUACUGAGCCAUUUAGACACCUUACAACAACACAUCCAGAACACAUCCAUUUCACUUCUGGAGUGUCCACGCCAAACCGAUUUACAAAAAUAUAAUGUUAUAUUUUACUGGAAGCUACGCUCCCACUUUUGUGCAUAGUCAGUGCCCCCCCCCCCCCCCACCCCAGAACUGAGCGCCUGCACAGGUGAUGUUUAUCAGUCAAGCGGCAGCAGCGAGAUCUGGAGACACAAACAUAAUCCUACGGGUGAGGAGGAUGUGUCAGGAAUGUCCAGCACUGGUGACUGAGACCUUGAUGCCACAUCAUGCUUUCUCAGUGCCAGUCUGAAAUACGACUACAGUGGAAAUCCAUCCAUCCAUCUAUUUUCCAAACCAUUUAUCCUAUUGGGUCGCGGGGGGUCCGGAGCCUAUCCCAGAAGCAAUGAGCACGAGGCAGGGAACAACCCAGGAUGGGGGGCCAGCCCAUCGCAGGGCACACUCACAUAUACAGUGGAAAUGACUGUAUAAAUGAAUAUAUAUACAUACAGACCAUAUAUACAACCAUAUAUCAUCUACAAAAUUAUGAUUUUAUGUCUGUCAAAGUAUGUUAAAACCUCUGUAUUUGCAGCAAAUUCACCCGUGGAUUUCUUGAGUCAACCAAUAGUAUACAAUGUUUGACUCCUCAAAGCCUCAUAAAGCUGUUUAUUCACUAGGUUAAUUAAUUAAUUGUGCUCAAGGGGAGCCCCCCCAAGGAGAGUUUGGGAACUGAAGUAGUGUCCGUCCAGCCAUCCAACAAGAUAUCAAUAACUUUUUGGAGAACGUAAUAAAUUAUUGUCAUUUUGUUACUGUCCAUUUGCAUACAUUAUAAUGUAGUCAUUGGCCCCCGAAGGAUUACCAAACACAAAUGUGUGGCGUUUCAUGUUAUUGCAAAGGUGUUACUAAUUAUAAACCACCAAAUGA